UCUGAAGUGAAGGUUAUGCUGUGGAGGGCAUAUGAAGUGGGUAAAAUGGUAUGUAAACAUUAUUAAAGGGACCAGUGUUCGAUGACUAUAUACAUAGGGCAGCAAUACGUAUCUAAGGUGCAGGUAGAGUACCAGGUGUUAGCCAGCUAGUAACAAUGACUAAGGUGCAGGGUACUGGGUGGAGGUGACUAUUUAACAGUCUGAUGGCCUGGAGAUAGAAGCUAUUUUUCAGUCUCUGGGCCCCAGCUUUGAUGUACCUUUACUGUCUACGCCUUCUGGAUGGCAGCGGGGUGAACAGGCCGUGGCUCGGGUGGCUGAGGUCCUUGAUGAUCUUCUUGGCCUUCCUGUGAUACCGGGUGCUGUAGAUGUCCUGGAUGGCAGGUAGUGUGCCCCCGGUGAUGCGUUGGGCUGAUCGCACCACCCUCUGAAGGGCCCUGCAAUUACGGACGGUGCAAUUGCCAUACCAGGUGGUAAUACAGCCUGACAGGAUGUUAUCAAUGGUGGGUCUGUAGAAGUUUAUGAGGGUCUUAGGGACCAAGCCUAAUUUCUUCAGCCUCCUGAGGUUGACGAGGUGCUGUUGCGCCUUCAUCACAGUGUCUGUGAAUGGACCAUUUCAGGUUGUCAGUGAUGUGCCUCUCCACUGCGGCACCAUUGAUGUGGAUAUGGGCGUGCUCUCUCUGUUGUCUCCAGAAGUCCAUGAUCAGCUCCUUCAUUUUGUUUUGUUGACAUUGAGGGAGAGGUUAUUUUUCUGGCACCAGUACGCCAGGGCCCUCACCUUCUCCCUGUAGGCCGUCUCAUCAGUGUUGGUGAAGCAAGUGGGACAACAGAUGGGCACGUCGGCCACAGAGAACGGGAACUCACAGUUCUUGUGUUUUCCUCGAAGUGGGCAAAGAAGGUGUUUAGCUUGUCCGGGAGUGAGGUGUCGGUGUCUGCGACGUGGCUGGCUUUCCCUUUAUAACCCGUGAUUGUCUGGAGUCCCUCCCACAUACAUCUCAUGUCUAAGCUGUUGAAUUGCAACUCCACUUUCUCCAUGUAACGUCGUUUUGCAUCUUUGAUAACCUUACGGAGGGCAUAGCUGGUCUGUUUGUACCCGUCCAUGUUCCCAGUCACCUUGCCGUGGUGAAAUGUGGUUUAACCACCAUCUAUCCACGUUUUUUGGUUUGGAUAAGUUCUAAUCGUCAUAGUGGGAACAACAUGCACUUCAUGGUGAACUCACCAAGUCAGUGUAUACAGUUUUACUAUUCUCAGAGGCAACCCGGAACAUUUCCCAGUCCGCGUGAUUAAAAUAAUAUUGAAGCAUAGAUUCCAAUUGGUCAGACCAAUGUUGAACCUUUGUUACCACGGGUGGUUCCCAUUUAAGUUUCUGUCUAUAGGAGGGGAAGAGCAAAAUUGAGGUGUGAUCUGAUUUGCCGAAGGGAGAGAGGGGGAAUAGCAAUGUUCAAGAGUACUCGAUUAAGCGAGUAGUACAGAAGAUGUGUUGAUAGAACUUCGGUAGUGUUUUCUUCAGAUUUCCUCUAUUAAAGGCCACAGCUACAAUAAAUGUGGCCUCGGGAAAUGCGGUUUCCAGUUUGCAAAAAGAGCUGUCGCAGGGUCUGCUUGGGGGAAUAUACAUGGCCGGGAGGUAAUGAAGUCGGUAUUUGAAGGUGAGGUAUUCAGAUUGGGAGAAGAAAAGUACUUGAGUUCCUAGCAAGAGAGAGAGAGUGGGGCUUAUUAAGGUUGAGAAGUAUGGCCCUCUUUCUGCUAGUCAGAAGCUCUCUCUCUCUUUUCUCAUCCCCCCCUCCCUCUCUCCCUUUUUCUAUUUAUUCACUAGGGAUGGGAAAUGCCAGGGACCUCACGGUACGAUAUCAUGAUACUUAAGUGCGGAUUCGAUAUGUAUUGUGAUUCCAUAUGCAUAGUGAUUUUAUACUAUAUGUAUCACGAUUCUGUAUGUAUUGCGAUUCGAUACUGUGAUUUUUUUUUACGAUUCAAUGUGACGUUGUCUGCUCCAGAGGGACAAGAAAGAGCCAUGACAAAACAAGUUUUAAUCAGUCAUGGAAACUAAAGUGCUAAAAACAUGUUGGAUCACCAUUUUAAAAGAACAUUGAGACCAAGCUAUAAAUCGUAAAAAUAAUACCGCAUGGAUCUCCAACCCUGCUUCUGGAGAGCUGCCGUCCUGUAGGUUUUCACCUCAAACCUAAUUUAGCGCACCUGAUUCUAAUAAUUUGCUGGUUGAUACGCUGUAUAAGGUUAGUUACAACUGGGGUUGAAGCGAAAGCCUACAGGAGGGUAGCUCUGCAGGAACAGGGUUGGACAGCCCUGCUCUACUAUAUCGAUCCCCCCCCCCCCCCCAUCCUUACUAUUCACCCGGUUUAACAGUGUUCCUCUCUUUCCUCUCAUUCCCCCACCUUUCUCUUUCUUACCUCGCCUCCAACACUGUCACUCUGUACUCUCUUUCUUCACAACCUUAUUUUUCAUAUCUCUGCCCAUUGAAGAUCCCUUUCGCUCCCAUCUUCCUCUCUCCUCUUUUCUCUUCUUCUCCCUGACUUCGUCAUUGCUAAUGUGUGUCCCUCCGUAUUUCCAGUGUUCACUGUCAAAGCAAUCAGAGCAACAAGUAAUAGGUUGGGAGGGGGCUAGGAGGCACACGAUAGGUUGUCCAGGAGCUAGAGGGUUUGUUAUUGGUUAGGCAGGACCUAUGACACUGCUGUGAGGUAGUCAACUAUCCUGUAGCAAACCAUUUUGCAACAGAAAACGUUUUGAAAUGAAAAUGUGAGUUUCUUAUUGAACAAAUUCAGGUAGAACCUCCCCGUUUUGGUCUAUUUUCUUCUGUUUGGUUUUUACUGAAUACGACCCAGGUGGAUGAGAUGAGCCACCCUCCUUUAGAAUAGAAAGCUUUUUGAGCUCUUUGAAAAGCGGCAUAAAAAUUCCUAUCCAAUAUCAUUAUUGUCGUCAUCAUGUGUUAGUGUGAAAUACUGAUCCUGAUUGAGCACACGAUGUGUUUGUCCCACCUGAUCUGAGGUCAGCCCUGCUGUAUAGUGGUACAAUGGAUGUGUUGUCUUCUCCUAGAGCGCCAAUCUACAGCAUUUCAUAUGGGCACUGAUGUCUCUGGUGUCUUUUAGGUUCUACAAGGAGUAUACAUGAAGCUUUGUUUGUCAUGGAUGUGGACUUUCCUUGUCUUUGCGCUAUAACGAGAUGCACAUUCAUGGUUGACAUUUUAGCAGUGUAAAAAACACAGCGCUAUUGUCAAUUGUCAAAAAAACACCCGCCUCACAGAUACUAUGUGCGGCAUUGCCAACUGCAUGAUGAAUAAUCACCACAAACAUUGCAGAAGAAAGUUUUUUUUAAAUGUAUUCAUUAAAAAUGUCAAAGUCACACUAACUUGAUCGUUGUUUGGCGUUCACAAAAUGGUACCCUUUGUACCAACCACAAUAUCUAUGUUUUUUCAUUUUGUUGUUGGUCUUAAUUUGCACUGGGUGUCUUGUUUCUGAUAGAAAGCUUUGUGAACCACCUCACAAUCCCAAUCACACCAGGCCUGGCCUCUUGUACAAAUUUAAAUAUAAACUGUGAAAGGAAUACACAAUGAAAUGUGGAAACUUGGAAAGUGAAUAUUUGUAAAAAAAUAAAAAUAAAUAAUGUAUAUAUAUAUAUAUAUAAUGAUAAAACAAUUGCCAUUGAAAACCCUGGGGCAAUACUUAAGAAGAUAAGCAACCAUUUAAAAUGAAACAGUUUCUCCGGCACAAAAAUGGAAGUCGUCAAUUUACUUGCACGUGACAGAUCGCUAAAUUGUAGCUGGUCCCAUCAUAAAACGGCACACAUUAGCCCUAUGCUAACCUCACCAGAUGGCAGUGAUUAUACCCUGGAACAAGUUCUGCAUCAGCCAAUUAAAAUCGUUGACUUUAUUGCAAAUGUUCCAAACAGUUCAACAGCAUAAUUAAAGCAACAAUCACAUGUAUUUGAGUGACUGGUCAAACUGCUCUCUGUGUAAAGUGCCUAGUCCUUGAAAUGUAGAUUUACAUAUAUUGUGUUAGUGUUGAAAAGGGAUGUAGUCAUCUGCGUGAAAAGGAAGAUUAAGAACUACUUUAAUAAAGAGCUACCUCUUUUAGCCUUGCAUGCAAACACAUUGGCCAUGUCCGAAUACCCAUACUUGCGUCCUAAAUAGUAGGCCGUUUGAAUAUUCGAGUAAUUAAGUUUAAUAAUUCAUCAUUUGAAUUUAUUUUAAAUGCACAGAUGUCAUACUCACUACGGCUUUGACAAGAGCUGAUCAAUUAGAUUUGGGGAUGCGCUACCGAAAUCAACAAAUAAUGGGAAACAACACAAAUGCGCAUGACGGAUUCUCAGUAUGCAGAAAUAAAACGUUUAAUAUGAGACAUUUCCAAAUUUGAGUAUGGUUUAAAUGCCAGGAUGUUAUACUCAUUUUGGCUCUUCUUCUACUGUAGUAGAAUUCGACAAUACAUUGGAAAAGGUGGGUGAUCGGCUGUAGUUCUCUUCAAGUACCAAAACUAGGCUAUUUAAUUUGGACACUGCCCAAAGCCUCUGAGGUAGUGUUCAAAUGUAGGCUAAGUAGUUUUUGCUCUACUUAAAAUGAUAAUGAGUAUGGCAUCGUAGGCUACAUCUUCGGAAACAGGGGCUUUCUGUUUUCUCACUGUAAAGUUUUAUUGUCUUCUUGGCCUUCGUCAGAGCUUUUAAACAACAUACAAAACCAUCUUUUGAUUUCUGAAUGUGUCAGCACCGGGGGCUCGGGAUGUAGCGGCGUUAUUGAUGUCACGUUAAUCAGGCCUUUUGUUUUAGAUUUGAAGGCUACACUACCUAUUUAAUGAAUGGAUCAAGCCUUAGCAGUCAUUCUGAUCUCAUUCCCAAUUAUCAGCGCUUUAAGUUAUUAUGUUGCUGUCCAGCGGUUCUAAAUUUGCGAAGCACCCGACUGUCCACAUUUUCUGAGCAAUAGCUUUUUGAUUUUUAACAUUUGAAAAGUUUUGGUGUGUAUAAUAGGCUAUUUGAUUUAAUUUAUAUAUGUUACAGCACUUUGGUUUCACUAAUAAAUAUGUUGAAAUGGAACCAAAUGAUCUGUUUCUGUCUUCAGUCAUUUUUAAAUAGGAUAGAUGGGCUAUAUGGUCUACUACGCUAUAAAUCAAGUGUGAUAGUUUGUUUAUAACCAGCCUGAGUAGGCCUAUAAUUCCAUUCCUAAUCUAUUCAGAUUUUAGAGAAAUUAUUCAAAUUGGAAAUCAACUAUUAUCAGGCUGGUUAACUUCUUCUGGCUGCAGCCCGGUGUCGGUACACUUAACAGCCAGCUCAAGUGCAGGGCGCGAAAUUCAAAAGAUAUUUUUCAGAAAUAUUUAACUUUCACACAUUAACAAGUCCAAUACAGCAAAUGAAAGGUACACAUCUUGUGAAUCCAGCCAACAUGUCUGAUUUUUUUUAUGUUUUACAGCGAAAACAGCACGUAUAUUUAUGUUAGCUCACCACCAAAUACAAAAAAGCACUAACAUUUUUCACAGCACAGGUAGCAUGCACAAAACCAACCAAACUAACCAAGAACCAACCAAACUAAAAAACAAACAACUUCAUCAGAUGACAGUCUUAUAACAUGUUAUUCAAUAAAUAUAUGUUUUGUUCGAAGAAUGUGCAUAUUUCAGGUAUAAAUCAUAGUUUACAUUGCAACUACAAUCAGAAAUUGCACCGAAAGCAGCCAGAAUAAUUACAGACACCAACGUCAAAUACCUAAAUACUCAUCAUAAAACAUUUCAGAAAAAUACAUAGUGUACAGCAAAUGAAAGACAAGCAUCUUGUGAAUCCAGCCAAUAUUUCCGAUUUCUUAAGUGUUUUACAGCGAAAACACAAUAUAGCGUUAUAUUAACUUACCACAAUAGCCAGAAACACAAGCCAUUUACCCGCAGCAAAGGUUAGCGAUCGUAACAAACCAGCAAAAGAUAUAUAAUUUUUGACUAACCUUGAUAAGCUUCAUCAGAUGACAGUCCUAUAACAUCAGGUUAUACAAUACACUUCUUUUUUGUUCGAAAAUGUGCAUAUUUAGAGCUGAAAUCAGUGGUUAUACAUUGUGCUAACGUAGCAUCUUUUUCCCAGAAUGUGCGAAUAUUUUUAUGACACUCAACUAUUCUGACCAAAUAACUAUACAUAAACGUUACUAAAAAAUACAUGUUGUAUAGGAAAUGAUAGAUACAUUAGUUCUUAAUGAAAUCGCAGUGUUAGAAUUCUAAAAAUAACUUCAUUACCACAUCCAGCUUACGUUAUAACGAGAAAGAGCCCAAAUCUGGGCGCAAAAUAAUGGUCAACAUAUUCCGACAGAUAUAUGAAAUAUCAUCAUAAAAUGGGUCCUACUUUUAUUGAGAAUCAGAAUCAGAAUGUUGUACAAGGGUGUCCUUUGUCCAGAACAAUCGUUGUUUGGUUUUAGAACGGCCUUCUUCCCUCUCGAAUUAGCAAGCUAAGUAGCCAAGUGGCGCGUAGCUCUCCAUCUUCACCAUACCCAGAGAACGCAACACGCCUAACGUCCCGAAAAAAUUUCAAUAAUCUAAUAAAACGAUAUUGAAAAAACAUACUUUACGAUGAUAUUGUCACAUGUAUCAAAUAAAAUCAAAGCCGGAGAUAUUAGUCGUCUAUAACGACAGCUUAUCAGAAGGCAAUACCAGGUCCCUUCUCGAGCUCUCCAGAAAACAGGAAACUGGUGACACGUCAUACAAAGAGCUUUUAUUCGACCCCAGAUCAAGUUAUACACUCCAUUUCUUCUCUCACUGCCUGUCGACAUCUAGUGGAAGACGUAUGAAGUGCAUGUAUUCUAAUAAAUAUCAAGGACAUUUAUAGGCAGGCCCUAGAACAGAGCAUCGAUUUCAGAUUUUCCACUUCCUGUCAGGAAGUUUGCUGCAAAAUGAGUUCUGUUUUACUCACAUAUAUAAUUCAAACGGUUUUAGAAACUAGAGAGUGUUUUCUAUCCAAUAGUAAUAAUAAUAUGCAUAUUGUACGAGCAAGAAUUGAGUACGAGGCAGUUUAAUUUUGGAACGAAAUUUUACAAAGUGAAAACAGCACCCCCUAUUGAGAAAAGGAGUUACUAUCUCCCGAACUAAACUCUUGGAAGAUAUACACUACCGUUCAAAAGUUUGGAAAUGUCCUUGUUUUUGAAAGAAAAGCACGUUGUUUGUCCAUUACAAUAACAUCAAAUUGAUCAGAAAUACAGUGUAGACAUUGUUAAUGUUGUAAAUGACUGGAAACGGCUGCUUUUUUAUGGAAUAUCUACAUAGGCGUACAGAGGCCCAUUAUCAGCAACCAUCACUCCUGUGUUCCAAUGGCACGUUGUAUUAGCUAAUCCAAAUUUAUCAUUUUAAAAGGCUAAUAGAUCAUUAGAAAACCCUUUUGCAAUUAUGUUAGCACAGCCGAAAACUGUUGUGCUGAUUUAAAGAAGCAAUAUAACUGGCCUUUAGACUAGUUGAGUUUCUGGAGCAUGUGGGUUCGAUUACAUGCUCAAAAUGGCCAGAAAUAAAUAAUUUCUUCUGAAACUUGUCAGUCUAUUGUUGUUCUGAGAAAUUAAGGCUAAUCCAUGCGAGAAAUUGCCAAGCAACUAAAGAUCUCAUGAGAAACAGACGCCUCACAAGUCCUCAACUGGCAGCUUCAUUAAAUAUUGACUUAAUUAUUUAUUUACUAACUGACUAAAUAAUAAACCAGAAUACAAAAACAAACACACUGUCUAGGUUAUUGAUUAGAAAUGUAAUACAGUGAAACAGGUCCCUAGUGGACUAACAAUAGCAUGACUGCUUGGUUAUAAAAGGGAGGGGUCAGGAAGAGAGAAGGACAAAGUGAGGCAAACUUAUUGUACCUUUGCAACCUACACUCAAAGGAAUAGUAACACUUUGCAAAUGAACCACCGCUCAUUCGGAUAAGAAAUGCAAUAUAUAUAUUUAAGUGUAGCUGGACAUGAUCGUUGUCUCUCUGCUGAACCCAAUCAAUCCGUCUAUGGAGAGUGGCUCAAUGUAAGGCUCUGGUUGUACACCAGAGGUCACAAUGUCCUUGUUAGUUGUAGAGCUUCUUUGGUCUUGGAAUGUUCAUUAGAAUAGAUACUUCAAAUGUACCAACGAUUGUCUGAGAUGGGAUUAUUCUUUCCCACCUCAGGUCUUUAAAUUGCCCCCUAUCCUUAGCCUAGGAUAGGGGGCAGCAUUUUCACUUUUGGAUAAAUAGCUUGCCCAAUUUCAACUUCCUUCUACUCAUCCCCAGAAUAUAAGAUAUGCAUAUUAUUAGCGGAUUUGGAUAGAAAACACUAUGAGGUUUCUAAAACUGUUUGAAUCAUGUCUGUGAGUAUCACAGAACUUAUGUAGCAGGCAAAACCCCAAGGACUAACCAUUCAGAUUUUUUUUUUUUGAGGUCACCGUCUGUUCAAUGAGAUUUCAUUGAGAUACUAGAUUUCUAAUCAACCUGUUUGCAGUUCCUACCACUUCCACUGGAUGUCACCAGUCUUUGGAAAUAGGUUGAGGUUAUUCCUUUGUGCAAUGAAGAAGAACGGCCAUCUGGAAUUAGUGUAACGUUAUGUGUACUGUUUGAGAGUUGCGCAAGACUAGAAAAGUAUCGUUAGUUUGUUGUUCUCCUGUAUUGAAAACAGAUAGACCCGUCUUCAAUUUGAUCAAUUAUUAACGUUUACAAAUACCUUAAGUUGUAUUACAAAAGUAGUUUGAAAUGUUUUGGCAAAGUUUAGAGGUAAUUUUUUAGAUAUUUUGUAGUGAUGUUGCGCAAAUUGGAAGCAGUUUUUUUCUGGAUCAAACGCGCCAAAUAAAUGGACAUUUUGGACAUAUAUGGACGGAAUUAAUCGAACAAAAGUACCAUUUGUGAUGUUUAUGGGACCUAUCGGUGUGCCAACAAAAGAAAUUCGUCAAAGGUAAGGCAUGAUUUAUAUUUUAUUUCUGCGUUUUGUGUUGCGCCUGCAGGUUUGAAAUAUGCUACACUCUUUGUUUACUGUUGUGCUAUCAUCAGAUAAUAACAUUUUAUGCUUUCGCCGAAAAGCCUUUUUGAAAUCUAACAUGUUGGCUGGAUUCACAACGAGUGUAGCUUUAAUUUGGUAACUUAUAUGUGUGAUUUAACUUCUUAAGGCUGCAGGGGCAGUAUUGAGUAGCCAGUUAAAUCGUGCCCAUUUCAAACGGCCUCGUACUCAAUUCUUGCUCGUACAAUAUGCAUAUUAUUAUUACUAUUGGAUAGAAAACACUCUCUAGUUUCUAAAACCGUUUGAAUUUUUUCUCUGAGUGAAACAGAACUCCUUCUGCAGCACAUUUCCAGACCAGGAAGUGGAAUGUCAGAAAUCGAUGCUCUGGUCAACUUCAUGCCUAUACAUGGGCAAUGAACGUAAGAGUCUACGUACACUUCAUACACCUUCCCCUGGUUGUCAAGAGGCGGUGAGAGAAGAAAUGUUGUGUCUAUCUUGGUCUGAGGUGGAAGUAAAGCUCUUUGUAUGACGUGACCGUCCAUUUCCUGUUUCUGGAGCGCGCGAAAGAGUACAUGGAUUUGCCUUCUGUUUAGCUGUCGUUAUGGACGACUAACAUCUCCGGUUUAGAUUUUAUUUGAUACAUGUGACCAUAUCAUCGUAAAGUAUGUUUUUUCAAUAUAGUGUAAUCAGAUUAUUGAAUUUUUUUUCGGGAGUUUUGCCGAGUUCCGUUCUCUGACUUUGUUGACGUUGGAGAGAUCCCUGCCACUUGGCAAGUGCCCAUGCUAAAUCAAGAGGGAAAUUUGCCGUUCCAGAUCCAAACAACGACUGUUCUGGACAAAGGACACCUUGUCCAACAUUCUGACGGAAGAUCACCAAAAGUAAGAAACAUUUUAUGAUGCUAUUUCUAAUAUCUGUCGUGCAUGUGAACUGGUCGUUGGCGCCCAAGUGUUUCUGGCUAUUGUGGCUACGCUAAUAUAACGCUAUAUUGUGUUUUCGCUGUAAAACACUUGAUAAAUCGGAAAUAUUGUCUGGAAUCACAAGAUGCCGGUCUUUCAAUUGCUGUACACUAUGUAUUUUUCAGAAAUAUUUUAUGAUGAGUAUUUAGUUAUUUGGCGUUGGUGUCUGUAAUUUUUCUGUCUGCUUUCGGUGCAAUUUCUGACUGUAGCUGCAAUGUAAACUAUGAUUUAUACCUGAAAUAUGCAAAUUUUUUGAAAAAAACAUAUGCUGUACAAUAAAUAUGUUAUCAGACUGUCAACUGAUGAAGUUGUUUCUUGGUUAGUGGCUAUUUAUAUCUUUAUUUGGCCGAAUUUGUGAUAGCUACUGAUGGAGUCAAAAACUGAUGGAGUAAUAAAAGUGGAGUCUUUUGCUAACGUGGUUAGCUAAUAGAUUUACAUAUUUUGUCUUCACUGUAAAACAUUUAAAAAAUCUGACAUGUUGGCUGGAUUCACGAGAUGUGUACCUUUCAUAUGGUGUAUUGGACUUGUUAAUGUGUGAAAGUUAAAUAUUUAAAAAAAUAUAUCUUUUGAAUUUCGCGCCCUGCACUUGAAGUGGCUGUUGUCAUAAAUGUACCGACGUCUGGCUUGCACGCCAAACAGGUUAAUGAAAGUUUGAUUUUAUAUAAUUUUUUGGAAUUUGGUGCUCUACAUUUUCGCAAGCGUCCCACAUAUCCCAGAGGGGUUAAUCAAAGUUUUAGGACCACUUUUACAUGCACAGCUGCAGACUGAAUGUUUCUGGUCUCCUAAGUGAGGUUAUAUUCCCUUGUAGUGUUGAGGUUGAGAGCUUCUAACCAUUUCAACAUGUGGACCACGGUCUCACGUCUUUUGGUCUCAAUGGUUGAUUAUUCAGGGUUCAGCUCACGACCACUUUAUACGCCAGUAGUAACCCGAAAAUGUACUGGUCUCACCAUUUUCAGCUGUGUGGCCACCACUCCACGCUUUCUGGUCUUGUAGUUUUAACCAUUCGUGACGUCUGGCUUACACUGUCCGUCUGCUUGGUCUAAUGUCAAUUUUGUUACCAAGGCUUUUAUCCUCAUGUAAAAAGGGGGCGUUCCAUCAUGACGACACAAUGUCUGUGCUCACUUGGGUGUGGAUACUGACUGAGCACAAGUUUAUAUGAAAGACAAUUAUCUCAAAUAGAGGGCUAAAAUCACAUUGCUAUCUUCAAAAAAGUAUCAUAUUUAAUCAUAUAUUUUAUAAAACAUUUAGAUGUAAAGUUGAUACAUAGAAUGCAUAUACUUUCAGAGUUAGUUACUUUGUUAUACCAUCCUUAACUUCUUAUGGGCAGGUGGGACGGUAGCGUCCCACCUGGCCAACAUCCGGUGAAAUUGCAGAGCGCAAAAUUCAAAAAUACCAAAUUCAAAUAUUUAACAUUCUUGAAAACAUAUGUGUUAUACAUCAAAAUAAAGCUUAACUUCUUAUUAAUCCAGCCGCUAUGUCAGAUUUCAAAAAGGCUUAACGGUGAAAGCAAACCAUGCGAUUAUCUGAGGACAGCUCCCCGCAUACGAACACAUUAAAAUCGUAUUUCAACCAGGCAGGUGCGCCACAAAAGUCAGAAAUAGCGACAUAAUUCAUGCCUUACCUUUGAAGAUCUUCUUCUGUUGGCACUCCAAAAUGUGCCAGAAACAUCUCAAAUGGUCCUUUUGUUCGAUAAUGUCCUUCUUUAUGUCCCAAAAAUGUCAAUUUAUUUGGCGCGUUUGAUUCAGAAAUACAUCGGUUUCAACUCGACCAACAUGCCUACAACGUAUCUUAAUAAGUUACCUGUAAACCUGGUCCAAACAUUUCAAACAACACUCCUAAUCCAACCUCAGGUACCCUAAAACGUAAAUAAUCGAUCAAAUUUAAACUGUUUCUAAUACCAGAUAAAAACAAUGUGAAGCGCGCUCCAGUUCACGUGCCUCAAAACAGUAGAGUCCACCUGGAAUGACACUUACAAUGAACAGCCCUACUGCUUAAUUUCUCAAAAGAAAAACAUCGAACAAUUUCUAAAGACUGUUGACAUCUAGUGGAAGCCAUAGGAACUGCAACCAGGUUCCCAAUAAUAAGGCUAUCCCAUAGAAACCAAUUGGAAAACCCUAUGACCUCAAUUUUUUUCCUGGAUGGUUUGUCCUCGGGGUUUCGCCUGCCAUAUCAAUUCUGUCAUACUCACAGACAUUAUUUUAACAGUUUUAGAAACUUUAGAGUGUUUUCUAUCCAAAUGUAUUAUAUGCAUAUCCUAGCUUCUGUGCCUGAGUAACAGGUAGUUUACUUUGGGCACGCUUUUCAUCCAGAGGUGAAAAUACUGCCCCCUACCCAAGAGAGAUUAAUGACAUCACAAAAUAAUAAACAAUAUGACAUGAUUAUUCUUUAGAUCCCCACCAACCAUUCUUAACAUUUGGAUGUCAGGAAUAAUGUUCCAAUGUUUACCUUUUAUUAGAAAAUUGUUUUGGAGGCAAGAGUCUCUCUCUACACACAGCACAUUCCUUUGGUGGAUACUGAAAGGCAGAGGGAAAGUUCCCUCCUGCUUAAAUUUACGACCCAGUGUUAAGAUGUCUAGACCAGCACAGCCCCCCUUCCCCUCUUCUGUGGGAGAGAGGGGGUCUGGCUAUCUUCAAACGUUUGCCCAGCUGAUGGGUCCUUUGAUCCACUGUCAGGAGAGUCAUGACACUGGUGAAGAAUUUGUUCCAGCGUAUAAUCACUGCCACCUGGUUAGGUUAGCAUUGUCUAAUGUGCGCUAUGUUAUCUGAUGGGACCAGCUACAAUUUAGCGUUAUUGCCACGUGCAAUUAAAUCUACAAUUUGAAUUGGCUGAUAUGCAUUUUAAGCCAGAUAAAUUGCUUCAAUUUAAAUGGUUGCUUAUGUUCAAGUAUGUCCCCCCAGGAUUGUAAGAUUGUCAUAUUGAUUGGUUUGUUAUUGAAUGAGUACUGUAAAACUAACUAAAACUUCCAAGUCUGUGUGUAGAUGUUGUUACAUGCUGAAGUUAUGAUAAGAUUACCGUUUUUUUUUAUCAUCAUUAAAAUCGUCAUUAGCCAUGUUUGCAUGACUGCUAUUACUUAUUUUGUUUGGGUCUGUUCUGUUUGGCUGUAAAUAUUGUGUAAAGUGAGGAUUCUGCAUAAAGAGUAAGGCUGAAUAAUGAUUCUCCUUUCCACACCUUAAGACCUGAGCAUUUUUAGUCAACGGUGUGAGAAAGCUAUACAUUGAUUUUCUUUCUUUCUUUUUGUAUUAUUGCCUUAACCCUUUGAAAUAGUUGUCAUGGUGUAUGCAUGUCACAUCACCUCAACAGCAGAAAAACUCAGGGGAGAAGUUGCACGAAUGCACAGACCUAGGAUCAGCUUACUUACCAUGAGAAGUGGAAAACACAAAACUGAACAUAGAUCAGCGUCAAGGUGCAACUUCAUCCAACUCCAGGAGGCUCUGCAGUGAUCAAAAAGUCACAACGCUAAACCACCAUGCAAACAGAACAAUCAUGUCCGCACAAUGUUUCCAUGGACUGAAUUACUCCGAGUGAAUUUAUUUAAACCCAAGAGAUGAAAAAAAGAAAGAAGAAAGUGUACAAUUGUAAAAAUGUUGUUCUUGAUUAAAUUCCUACUAGAAAAAUUAUAUAAAAAGCAAACCCCUUGUGUUCUCCUUUUUGUAUUUGUGUUUAUUAUGGAUCCCCAUUAGCUGCUGCCAAGGCAGCACAUACCCUUCCUGGGGUCCAGCCAAAUUAAGGCAGUUGUAUCAUUUUAAAAACAUUACAUUCACAACAAAUUUUAAUGUCUCACUUAAAUAUAACAUUGGAUUCAAAUUAGCUUUUUAUUGUUUCUAAUAGAGGAUGAACAGAAUAUUCUAUUCCAAACUCACCAACUAACUUGUACUUAUUUGGCCUCCUGAGUGGUGCAGCGGUCUAAGGCACUGCAUUGCAGUGCUAGAGGCAUCACUACAGACCCUGGUUUGUUCCCAGGCUGUGUCAUAACCGGCUGUGAUCGUGAGUCCCAUAGGGCGGUGCACAAUUGGCAAAGCAUAAUCUUGGUUAGGGGAGGGUUUGGCCGGUAGGGUAGGCCGUCAUUGUAAAUAAGAAAUUUGUUCUUAACUGACUUGCCUAGUUAAAUAAAAUACAUUUGACUUGAAGACUGUUUCAUGACAAGAGUUUGCUGCACAUUCCUAAGUUAAUAAUGAUUUAAGUUGUGGACUUUGCUGUGGAUGUUUUGGCAGUGCUUAGUAGUGUAAUUGGUUAAAACAAAUGUGAUUCAUAUCACAUGGAUUAUGGCCAAGAUUCAAUCCAAGGUGCAUUAUAGAGUAGUGCCAUAGAGGUACAAAUGUGGUUGCCUGUUGUUUGUAAAUGGCUGUAAAGAGGGUCUGAUUUUAUGAACAGGCUGAUUUCGCCUUGGUUUUCAUUAAGAAAUGAGACCGAAAAGAUGUGAUUUGUGUCUUGGAGACGUGCUUUGAUGUGGGUGUUUCUUGUGUGUCGUCACACGUGAGAAGCGUUUGAACAUUCGCUCUGGCAAAACAGCUGACGGGAAAAAUCUGGCGGAAGUAAGCUCGCAACCGGAGGGUUGCUGGUAUCAUAUCCUAGAUACCCUUGCCUGUCGUUGUGACCUUAAACAAGGCACUGAACGAACCCCCCCUCCACACACACAUCAACUACUCCACAGCCCCAGCUUCAACCUUUCCAACAUGUAUUAAAAUAAAAAAUAAAAUAAACUUGAUUAUAUGUGUCUUUCGGAUGGGUUGGAAUAAAGCGGAAGUAACAUUUCAGUGUGACAAUUAACAAAUACACUGAGUGUACAAAGCAUUAGGAACACCUUCCUAAUAUUGCGUUGCGCCCUCAGAGCAGCCUCAGUUCCUUGGGCCAUGGACUCUACAAGGUGUCAAAAGCGUUUUACAGGGAUGCUGGCCCAUGUUGACGCCAAUGCUUCAAACCCUGGUGUGACGUUUUGAUAACCAUGUAAAUAUGCGGCUGUAUUUACCCCCCAAAAAUGAAAUGCUAAUUAUCUGCUAAUGUGGCUAUCGUAAAGAACUACAUAUGCCAUGAUGAUUUGGACGAGACCUCAGUAUCAAGGCAAAUGUAACUAUCGAAUGUUUGCGAAAUUUAGUAAUGAAUAAAUUGGCAAUAUUUCUUUAAAUUGAAAAUGAUGUGAACUGUCUUGUGCAAGUUUUAAAUUGACUCUACCAGUUAGCAAAGAUGUCAGCUAGAGAUGAAGUGCAGGAGCUCUUGCAGGGAUUUGUAGUAUUGCAUGAUGUCUAUUUUGAUGCUAAUUGCAUUUUCAAAUCUGAGACUAAAUAGAGCCAAAAUCCCAAGAGAGAUGUACAUGGUUAUCAAAAAGUCAAGCCAGGUCAAGCCUACACGAAACACAGCCUUUAUUUUAAGUGUUUCUAAAAUUCCCUAUGGGAAAAUUGAAUGGUGGCAAAAUGAUUCUAUAGUUUCAAAGCUUAAAAUUCCUUCAUCUACAUUGAUUGAAGUGGAUUUAACAGGAGACAUCAAUAAGGGAUCAUAGUGUUUACCUGGAUUCACCUGGUCAGUCUAUGUAAUUGAAAGUUAUCUUAACCAGUUCUGCCAGGGUGAGUGAACUGGUCAGAGUGAGGUGUUCUCUCAUUUCUGUCUGGAAGUAGCUAGCAAGCUAGCCAAUUUACUGAAUAAGUAUCAGCCAGUGUGUGACUGUGGCAAAAUUAGUUCGAUGUUGGAUAUAUCAAUGGGGCUAGUAAAGGGACCGUCAAUAAAUUACGCAAUGUACAUGGGACAAUAUUUUUUUGUUGCACACCUUUCAGUUUUCUCAUUAAAUGCUUUCAAUGUUGUAUAUGAAUUUUUACAAUUUAUAGUUGGUUUGAGGUUUUAAGUAAUAGAAACAAUUGCCACAUAGGUCAUUUUUAAAAUGAAAAGCGCAUGAUUUGUCCGGUGACACUUUGCUUCUUGAAAGUCCAAUAUCUUGAAAACAUGACUGCAGACAUGCUCAAAACAUAAGAAUUAAUUUUCUUUCACAGCCAUCUAGUGGCCACAAUAUUUUGUUCAGGACUCCAACACUGCAGGUGUCACUAAUAUUAACUUUACACUUUUUUCUAACAAAAAAAUAUUUUUUUAAAUGGAGAUAGCCUCACUGGCACUGUCCAUGCUUUCACAUACACUGUAACGGCACAAAUACAAAGAUUAGUAUUCUUUCUAUCUCUAUGAAUAGCCACAAGACAGCUGACAAUGCGCCUUUGAAAUACAUUUUCACAAACUUUCGCGAAGAUCACAUUCACAGUAAACGCUGGUAUGUCGGCCCAAGCAUAAAUUACCUGCUCCAUACGGGCCCGAUUUAGACCUGAAUUAAAAGGAAUUGAAUUCCCUUUUUUGCACUUUUACAUCUACGUGUGUUCUGACCUUGAACUUAGGCACGAGGUAACGGAUGUUUCAGCCAGCUAUUCGUUUGGGGUGUAGAUUAGAGAAAUGGAGGUGUGGCAGAUGUGUCUACAGAUAUGCCGUAUUCUGACCUUGACUUAAUUCCCUUUGUUAUUCCACCACCUUUACGCGCAAUGAAUACGUUUGAGCAACCUGUCGGUUUCAAGUGGAAUAACAUCAACUACAUUUUUUUGAUAGAAAUAACACCAUUCUCCAUGCACUGUAAUUUACAAAUUGAUAAGAGCUAUUGAACAUUUUUCCUUAUGAUGCUGGAGCCAAAUGUGAAACCAGUAGACAAAUGUGAAACCAGUCAUAUGACAGCAAACUGAAGCAUAUCAACAUAACUUUUCCACAGUGAAGUUAAUGUAAUGCAGGUCUUUCAACUUGCAGGGAUGACAUUUGGAGACCCAAUCUAUAGGCUUCUGUAGCCAUGUGCAAAUGACAGUAUAGCGCCGAUCCUACCCAGUUGAUUUACGUGCUCUAGAAUAUUUUACUUGGGCUUUAUUGAUACAAAAACACACAUUUACUUAAACAGGCAAGUCAAAUAAGAACAGAUUCUUAUUUACUAUCACUAGCCUGCUCAAACUCUCUUUCUUUUCGUCUGAGAUUCCCAAAGAUUGGAAAGUUGCCGCGGUCAUCCCCGCUUCAAAGAGGGAGACACUUUAGACAUAAACUGCUACAGACCUAUAUCUAUCCUACCCUGCCUUUCUAAGGUCUUCGAAAGCCAAGUUAACGAACAGAUUACCGACCCCCAGAUCACCCCCCAAGAAAAAAAAAAAAAAAAGAUUACCGACCAUUUCGAAUACCACCGUACCUUCUCCGCUAUGCAGUCUAGUUUCCGAGCUGGUCAUGGGUGCACCUCAGCCCCUGUCAAGGUCCUAAACUAUAGCAUAACUGCCAUCGAUAAGAGACAUUACUGUGCAGCCGUAUUCAUCGACCUGGCCAAGGCUUUCGACUCUGUCAAUCACCACAUUCUUAUUGGCAUACUAAACAACCUUGGUUUCUCAAAUGACUGCCUCGCCUGGUUCACCAACUACUUCUCUGACAGAGUUCAGUGUGUCAAAUCAGAGGGCCUGUUGUCUGGACCUCUGGCAGUCUCUAUGGGGGUGCCACAGGGUUCAAUUCUCGGGCCGACUCUCUUCUCUGUAUACAUCAAUGAUGUCGCUCUUGCUGCUGGUGAUUCUCUGAUCCACCUCUACGCAGAUGACACCAUUCUGUAUACUUCUGGCCCCUCUUUGGACACUGUUUUAAGUAACCUCCAGACGAGCUUCAAUGCCAUACAACUCUCCUUCUGUGGCCUCCAACUGCUCUUAAAUGCAAGUAAAACUAAAUGCAUGCUCUUCAACUGAUCGCUGCCCACACCUGCCCGCCCUCCCAGCAUCACUACUCUGGACGGUUCUGACUUAAAAUAUGUGGGCAACUACAAAUACCUAGGUGUCUGGAUAGACUGUAAACUCUCCUUCCAGACUCACAUUAAAAGCAUCUCCAAUCCAAAAUUAAAUCUAGAAUCGGCUUCCUAUUUCGCAACAAAGCCUCCUUCACUCAUGCUGCCAAACAUACCCUCGUAAAACUGACCAUCCUACCGAUCCUCGACUUCAGCGAUGUCAUUUACAAAAUAGCCCCCAACACUCUACUCAACAAAUUGGAUGCAGUCUAUCACAGUGCCAAAGCCCCAUAUACUACCCACCGCUGCAGCCUGUACGCUCUCGUUGGCUGGUCCUCGCUUCAUACUCGUCACCAAACCCACUGGCUUCAGGUCAUCUACAAGUCUCUGAUAGGUAAGGCCCCGCCUUAUCUCAGAUCACUGGUCACCAUAGCAGCACCCACUUGUAGCACGCGCUCCAGCAGGUAUAUCUCUCUAGUCACCCCCAAAGCCAAUUCCUCCUUCGGCUGCCUUUCCUUCCAGUUCUCUGCUGCCAAUGACUGGAAUGAAUUGCAAAAAUCACUGAAGCUGGAGACUCAUAUCUCCCUCACUAGCUUUAAGCACCAGCUGUCAGAGCAGCUCACAGAUCACUGCACCUGUACAUAGCCCAUCUGUAAAUAGCCCAUCCAACUACCUCAUCCCCAUACUGUAUUUAUUUAUCUUGCUCCUUUGCACCCCUGUAUCUCUACUUGCAUAUUCAUCUUCUGCACAUCAAUCACUCUAGUGUCUAAUUGGUAUAUUGUAAUUACUUCGCCACCAUGGCCUAUUUAUUGCCUUAUACCUCCCUUUUCUUACCUCAUUUGUACACACUGUACAUAGAUUUUCUUCAACUGUAUUAUUGACUGUAUGUUUUGUUUAUUCCAUGUGUAACUGUGUUGUUGUAUGGGUCGAACUGCUUUGCUUUAUUCUUGGCCAGGUCGCAGUUGUAAAUGAGAACUUGUUCUCAACUUGCCUACCUGGCUAAAUAAAGGUGAAAUAAAUAAAAUAAAAUAAAUAAAUUAGUCAAAAUACACCCGGACUUCUCUGUUUAUUUAACAAUUGGUAAUGUGUUAAAUAUUAGCCACUAUCAGUAGCUACCGUCAGUUAUACAAACAUCUAGAACUGUCACUUUAGUGUUAGUCCUUACAAUUUGGAUAAUUUUGUUAUAGUUUGUUAUAGUUGUCCCCCACAAUAAAAUCAGAGUGGAUCUGUCUCCGUCCUUUCGUCACACGCGUUUGUUCUAUUCAUUCAGGCUCUCUCUAUCUCAUCUAUAGAAUGCAAGCCCAGUUAGACCGGAGACAUGUCUCACAUGCACCACUAAUGAUAGAAUGGAAUGUGGCUGUAAAGUUUCAUCACCCUCUAGUAAAACCCAUUUCCACGACACUCAGACUAGCUGCAGGAAGCUGGAGUGGACACAUUAAAAACUCAGCCUUAGCAGGCCAGUCUUACUCUGAGUUAAAUAUAUAAUCGUUUACUAUUAAUAUCAAACAAAUCAGGUAAGUAUGUCAUUUUUCUAGCACAUUCUCCUACAGCAUCACAUAAUUAUUGUUAACCAUACAUUGAAACAAACAAAAUACAUAUUUCUGCUGACAUUUCAUCCAUGGUACACAACCUUUCUUUGGGUUGCUGAGUUUUAGACCUUUUCUAUCUGUACAGAAAAUGAAAAUAAAAAUAAAAAUAAAAAUCACACACAAGCUUCAUUACAGCAAAUAGGACAAUCAUCACACUGGCAUCAUACACAAAGGUAGGAGUCAGCAUGAUGAAAAUGUCCACCCCAUUUAGAACGAACCCUUCCUACACCAGUGAGACACCCCUCUCUGGGCACUUUGUACACUCAGUAGGAACAUGAGCUCCACAUCUGGGUCCUUAUGCUCAGACUUGGGGUCCUCAUCAGAAAUAGGUCAGGUAAAAUCACUCAGUUUCCAAAUCAUAAUUAAAUCCAAAUUAACAUACAUUUAUAUUAGCCAUACAAUAUAUUAAUCUCAUAAUUCUACUAUUAAGUUCCUCAUCAGGGCUAUGAUUACAGAUCAGUAUCUCAAUGCAUUCUUAGACUAAAUAACUAUAUAUUUAGCCGUGUAUAUCUCCAUCAACAAGAUACCCCACGAUAACAAUUUCAGACAAGUCUAAAUUGGGGCGGCAGGGUAGCCUAGUGGUUAGAGCGUUGGACUAGUAACCGAAAGGUUGCAAGUUCAACUCCCCGAGCUGAUAAGUUACAAAUCUGUCGUUCUGCCCCUGAACAGGCAGUUAACCCACUGUUCCUAGGCCGUCAUUGAAAAUAAGAAUUUGUUCUUAACUGACUUGCCUAGUUAAAUAAAGGUAAAAAAAAAAAAAAA